UGUGGUGGGGAAGAGAAGGGGCAAUAGGGGAGGUUAAAUGAGUGGUGGUGGAGGGGAGAGUAGAGGAGGUAAAGGGGUGAGGAGAAGGGAAAGUUGGAAAGUUUCGUUUAGUCGGCGCAACACCUGUGGUCAUAUGCCGGAGAGAGACAGAAGGGGGUGAUGGAAAGAGGGGGAGAGAGGGGUGGUAGGGGUGGUUGAAGGGAUGGUUAGAGAGGGAGAGAAAAAGGUGGAUGGGGUGGAGAAGGAUGGGAGAGGAAGAGGGGUGAUAGGGGUGGUUGAAGGGGUGUGGAGAGAUGGAGAGAAAAAAGGGGCGUGUGGUGGAGAUGUAGGGGAGAGGAGAGGGGUGAAGGAGAUGAUCAGAGGGGAAGAGGAGAGAGGUGAAAGAGGGGAGGCACUGUGCUAUCUUGGGCCCUUAAAGAAAAUAGAAAUGCAAUAGAACUCUUCAUCAAUGAGUUUUCUUCAUCUCAAAACCACUUAUUCCAUCCCUCGCUCUCUCCCAUCCAAUCCAUUCCAGUCCAGUGUGGGAGAGAGAGGUGAAAGAGGGGAGGCACUAUGCUAUCUGGGCCCUUAAAGAAAACGGAAAUGCAAUAGAACUCUUCCUCAAUGGGUUCCCUUCACCUCAAAACCACUUAUUCCAUCCUUGACUCUCUCCCAUCUAAUCCAUUCCAGUCCAGUGUGGGAGAGAGAGGUGAAAGAGGGGAGGCAUUGUGCUAUCUGGGCCCUUAAAGAAAACGGAAAUACAAUAGAACUCUUCCUCAACGAGUUUUCUUAAUCUCUGAACUUAUCUUUCUUUUCUUCCUUUUAUGUUUUCAUCUCCUGACUCCUCCUUUCCUUCCCUCCCUUUCUUCCUUUUGCUUCCCUUCCUUCCCUCAUCUCAAAACCACUUAUUUCAUCCUUGACUCACUCCCAUUCUAAUCCAUUCCAGUCCAGUGCAACCUCUCAUCCACCAUUUUUUAUUUAUUUAUUUUAUUUAUCUUAUUUAUCCACACAAAAUUGACCUCUGUUUUGGCUACUCUUUGUGUUUGUCUGUUGUGGGAGCGGAGAGUAGCAGGCUUUUUUUAUUUUGUACAUUUUUUGUUGCCCUUGAGCCGUCUCCUUUGUUGUAAAAAAAAAAAAAAAAUACAUGCUCAAGCUUUUUAAGGGUAUUUUAUUUUAUUUCAUUUUAUUUUUUUACAACAAAGGAGACAGCUCAAGGGCACAAAAAAAGGAAACAACAAUAAAAAAGCACGCUACUCGCUGCUCCUAAAAAGAAUCCGAAGAGGUGGCCGAAAGAGAGGUCAAUUUCGGGAGGAGAGAUAUGCUGGGUAUAUUUCCUAUCUAAAAACCGACCUUCCGCUCACUACCCUAUGAGGAAAACUACAAAAUAUUUCAUUCAUAGAGUUCGGAUAUUUAAAGGUCCGAUGUUAUUAGUCAGUGUGAGGUCAGAAAAGGUCAGCAGGAGUGGAGGUGACUUACUGGGGGCAAAUGAUUACAAUAUUUCAUUCACCCAACUCAAAUAUUUCGUUUCUAAAAAAAUACAAAAUGCAAAUAUAGAUAAAAAUAGGAAGAGACAAUUAUCCAAAAAACUGAAAUACAAAAUAAAGACCCAAUCAGUUAGUGCAAGGUCAAAGGUCACGAGGAGGAGGCGAGAUGACUUAUUGGAGGGAAACUACUACGGCAUUUAAUCCGAUUCAAAUAUUUCAACUCUAAAAAUAUGAGUAAGUGUGAGGUCAGAGUAGGUCAGAGGUCACGAGGAGGAGCAGAGGUGAGUGGGGGCAAACUCUUACAAUAUUUCAUUCAUCCAAUUUAAAUAAACAAAAUCCAAA